rnacentral:rRNA from 1 species
AUGAACGCUGGCGGCGUGCCUAAUACAUGCAAGUCGAGCGAACAGACGAGGAGCUUGCUCCUCUGACGUUAGCGGCGGACGGGUGAGUAACACGUGGAUAACCUACCUAUAAGACUGGGAUAACUUCGGGAAACCGGAGCUAAUACCGGAUAAUAUAUCGAACCGCAUGGUUCAAUAGUGAAAGACGGUUUUGCUGUCACUUAUAGAUGGAUCCGCGCCGCAUUAGCUAGUUGGUAAGGUAACGGCUUACCAAGGCAACGAUGCGUAGCCGACCUGAGAGGGUGAUCGGCCACACUGGAACUGAGACACGGUCCAGACUCCUACGGGAGGCAGCAGUAGGGAAUCUUCCGCAAAGGGCGAAAGCUUGACGGAGCAACGCCGCGUGAGUGAUGAAGGUCUUCGGAUCGUAAAACUCUGUUAUUAGGGAAGAACAAAUGUGUAAGUAACUAUGCACGUCUUGACGGUACCUAAUCAGAAAGCCACGGCUAACUACGUG